rnacentral:lncRNA from 1 species
GUUCCACUUUGAGGUAUGGUAGCCACAAGAGUGAUGUCUAGUUACGCUAUCAAAAUCCUAUAUCCAUCAAAAAUCUGAUUUGAAUCAUUCUGGUACUACUGAAUCCAGUUCUGGUAUUGUAAGAAUGGAUUUGUGCCUCAUAGUGUUGGAAUUCCAGUUGGUUUUAUGUGAUUAUCUUAACAGAAUGUUGAUUGGGCCAUCAUGUCAUGAGUCAAGUAAUGCCCAAAUAGAUGAACUCAAGCAUUGAUAAUUUACACUUUAACUAUUUAACAUCAACCACAAAACUAAAUCAUUAAGCAGAAUGUAUUGCUAAUGGUCUAUGGUAUUCACGCCGUCCACACAAACAAGGACACAACUAGCAAUUAGUAACUACCAAGGAUUGCAAAGAUUUUCAGACACUCCGUUGCUCCACUUUCAAAUUGUAGGCUAAGACUAUUUUGAUGAUAUAGCUUAGGUUACAAUUUUAUAUUCAGUACAAAAUCUAAGCUUUCAUUUAUUUUUUUAAAAAAAAAGCUUCAAAAUUUACAUUUAAUCAGAGCCAUAUAAAAGAAGUGGACGGACUGGUGAUGGCAAGUCUUCAGUUGGUUGCAUCUCUCAGCUCUUUCCCCAUAGAACGCUGUAAAGGCCUCCAACCAUCAAAAUU